rnacentral:rRNA from 1 species
GACGAACGCUGGCGGCGUGCUUAACACAUGCAAGUCGUACGGUAAGGCCCUUUCGGGGGUACACGAGUGGCGAACGGGUGAGUAACACGUGAGUAACCUGCCCACAACUUUGGGAUAACGCUAGGAAACUGGUGCUAAUACUGGAUAUGUGCUCCUGCUGCAUGGUGGGGGUUGGAAAGCUCCGGCGGUUGUGGAUGGACUCGCGGCCUAUCAGCUUGUUGGUGGGGUAGUGGCCUACCAAGGCGGCGACGGGUAGCCGGCCUGAGAGGGUGACCGGCCACAUUGGGACUGAGAUACGGCCCAGACUCCUACGGGAGGCAGCAGUGGGGAAUAUUGCACAAUGGGCGCAAGCCUGAUGCAGCAACGCCGCGUGCGGGAUAACGGCCUUCGGGUUGUAAACCGCUUUCAGCAGGGACGAAGCUUUUUGUGACGGUACCUGCAGAAGAAGCACCGGCUAACUACAUG